AAGGCGAAUCGUACCUCGAGCUCAACUGAAAUCAGUGGGGCAAUCUACUCGCGAUGGUCAAGCGUCUGAAAGCCGAAGAUCACCUGGAUGCCUGGAUGCAGGAGAACCAUCGACGAGACGACGCGAUGUGGAAAAUCUCCUUUAGCACGGUUUGCAUGGUGGAGGAGACGAAUCUGAUGAUUGGCACGAUCGAGAGUCGAAGGAACAUUUCACGAACAAGUUCAGAAUUUGAUUUCAACAAGAAACAUCCCGCGCCAUCUUGUCCCACUGGCACUGGCUUGACCUGCAGCGAUUCCCUAGCACACCCUGUGGCUACUGGAACCUGGAGCAGAAAACUGUUCAGUACCUGUCCGAUUUCAACGCGAGUUUCCUCAACGUUUGUUUUGAAUAAUCGUGUAGAUUAUUCAAAACAAACGUCGAGGAAAAAUAGUGUAGUUAAAGGAAAAAUAUCAAUCUUGAAACAAAAAAAAGUUCAAAGUGUAAAUACAGUUUGUUUUGUUUUGUGUCGCUUGCUGUGAUGACAGCUGGUGAAUCAAAGUUUCGUGUUUCGAUAGAUGCAAUCUUUUUCGGCGCUGAUUACAUUUAGUGUUUCAUGCCCACCAUGGCCGCAACGGACGUGGACCAAGAAAAGGACACCGGAUAGGCGGAUUAAGCGGAAAGAAAUCCCCAGCAACAAGGUAACACACAGAAAUCUCAGAUGGAGUUUGAGACGGAAUCGUCCAAGGCAGCGACGGUCAUGACGUUGAGAACGGUGGCCGCUGGACUACCCUGGAAGAAUCCAUCGGUGUGUGAUAUUGAUUGUGGAACGGCCAACGAUUUUUUCCGGCGCAUCGAGUUCGCUGAAACCGAGUUUAGCGGAGAACAAUUCGUCGUUGCUGGAUCGAUUUGGUUUCCGGAAGAUCCGGCGCCAGCGGGAUGACGGUGGAACGGUGCUGUCGGAAUCUGAGCUGGAACCGUAACAGGCUGUCUUGUUGGCUAAACGAACAGAAGAUGUACGGAUGACGACCAGAAAACAGCAACAUAAGAUCAACAUAACUCAAGAAUGUACUUUAUUCAACGUAGAGAGGAAUAUCACCAGCCACGUAUUGGACAAAAAAGAUAAGUGAACAUUUUUAUCAUGGUGUAAACUAGAGAUUUGGCGGAUUGUUUUUAUUUACAGGUGUGUCCCUCAGUUACGCUUCGGACCUGAACCUGAUUUUUGAAGCAGCGGUGUUACCGUAGAAGACGGUAUUCAGGCCGGUGUAGCACGACAGCGCAACUUCCCAUCGGCAGAACUCCAAUUUAAGCAAAAUCGGCAGCUGAAGGUUAUGUCAAACCUGGGCCCAUUUCACCAGACCGACAACUUUCACAGAAUGGCAGAGAUGGAGCUGUUCGAGGAUUGGCUUCUGCGAUUGCUACUAAAAUUCUGGACGAGGUUUACUGCCACUCGAAGCCAAUCUGUUCCAUAUGUAAUUUUGUCAAAUUUGAGUUAAUGAUAUUAGUCCUAAAUCAUGUGAACUAUCAGAAAACUAAUAAUAUGGAGUACUUCAUUCCAGAAAACUAAGAUAGUCACACUUUUUCGUGAAAUCCUAACACUUAGCCUUAAGGGCGGGACACAUUUGCCUUACGUUUUUCUCAGCUUGUUGUUUUUACAAAUGGGAUGGACUAGAUUCGAGCGGCAGUUUACAACCUAGUUCAACCCUGUGCUGCAUGAGAUGUCUCAUUGAGCUAUGAUGUUAGAAUUAUAUAAAAAAA